UGGGGAAUAUUGCACAAUGGGCGCAAGCCUGAUGCAGCCAUGCCGCGUGUGUGAAGAAGGCCUUCGGGUUGUAAAGCACUUUCAGCGGGGAGGAAGGCGUUAAGGUUAAUAACCUUGGCGAUUGACGUUACCCGCAGAAGAAGCACCGGCUAACUCCGUGCCAGCAGCCGCGGUAAUACGGAGGGUGCAAGCGUUAAUCGGAAUUACUGGGCGUAAAGCGCACGCAGGCGGUCUGUCAAGUCGGAUGUGAAAUCCCCGGGCUCAACCUGGGAACUGCAUUCGAAACUGGCAGGCUAGAGUCGUGUAGAGGGGGGUAGAAUUCCAGGUGUAGCGGUGAAAUGCGUAGAGAUCUGGAGGAAUACCGGUGGCGAAGGCGGCCCCCUGGACAAAGACUGACGCUCAGGUGCGAAAGCGUGGGGAGCAAACAGG
rnacentral:rRNA from 1 species